AGUGAACGCAGGCGGUAGGCCUAACACAUGCAAGUCGAACGGCAGCACAGUAAGAGCUUGCUCUUACGGGUGGCGAGUGGCGGACGGGUGAGGAAUACAUCGGAAUCUACUUUUUCGUGGGGGAUAACGUAGGGAAACUUACGCUAAUACCGCAUACGACCUACGGGUGAAAGCAGGGGAUCUUCGGACCUUGCGCGAUUGAAUGAGCCGAUGUCGGAUUAGCUAGUUGGCGGGGUAAAGGCCCACCAAGGCGACGAUCCGUAGCUGGUCUGAGAGGAUGGUCAGCCACACUGGAACUGAGACACGGUCCAGACUCCUACGGGAGGCAGCAGUGGGGAAUAUUGGACAAUGGGCGCAAGCCUGAUCCAGCCAUACCGCGUGGGUGAAGAAGGCCUUCGGGUUGUAAAGCCCUUUUGUUGGGAAAGAAAAGCAGCAGGUUAAUACCCCGCUGUUCUGACGGUACCCAAAGAAUAAGCACCGGCUAACUUCGUG
rnacentral:rRNA from 1 species